rnacentral:lncRNA from 1 species
AGGGACUUGCAGUGGAUGGCAAUAAGGAAUAAUAGUCACCCAGGUGGUGUAUGGCCAAUCAAACCGCAUAAGGUGUGAGAUCAUCAAGGCAAUGAAGUGUUGGUCUCCACACACGUUGGGCUCUGGUGCUGGUAGUCCUGACUACAUUCUGUCACCACCACAGUGCUCCAGAGGGAUUGAGAGACUCAAGCCCUUCCUUUGCUCACUCCCCAAAAGAAGAAAACAGACACUGGUAUGA